rnacentral:lncRNA from 1 species
UAAGUUUGUCUCAACCAAAUGUUGUGAAACAUAUGCACAAUGCUUAUUACCACUGACUAAACACAGAUUAAAUUAGAAUUUUGGUGGUGUCCCUCUAACCAUUCACAAGUUAUGCCCCUUAAUAAAUGGAAAACAUGUUUCUGUUCUCUCACUUUAGUUGCCUCAACCAAAUGUUAUGAAACUUAUACACAAUGCUUUUUACCACAAAUUUUAGAUCAAGUUGAAUUUGGUGACAUCACUUUCUCCAUUUAAAUGUUAUGCCCCUUAAUAAAUGGAAACCAAUGCCAAAUUUAGUUUCUGUUUUGUAACUUAAGUUUAUCCCAACCAAACAUUAUGAGACCUAUACUUACACAAUACUUAUUACCACAAACCUCAGAUCAAGUACAAAUUUAGGUAGCGUCACUACUAUCGUUCUUGAGUUAUGUUCCUUUAUAUUGCAAGCAGGGGCAUCAUCUUUGUCAAUGGGGACACAUUCUUAAUAAAAAAAAAUAUAUAUUUUUGAAAUUUUAUUUUAUAGACGCCUGAUAAUAAUGACAAUAAUGUCUGUAUAUAUAUAUAUAUAUAGUACUAUAAAGUAUGCGAUAAACAAUUAAAUAUUUUGAAAAUUCAGUGCAAAAGAGAAUAUAAUUUAAUUUGAUAUAAUCCGAUAUGAGACAUGUUUCUCUCGAACAAAUAACUAUUUAUUGCUAGUAUAUGACCCUGGUACGGUCUGGAACUAAAUAUGUAUAACACUCAAUUGUUUUCACUUGCAAGUUUACAUUUUUCCCAGGACUAUUUAAUCUGAUAAAUCUAAUUAACCAAUUUAUAACAUGAUUUUACAUGUCACAG